UACGGAAGGGGCAAGCGUUGUUCGGAAUCAUUGGGCGUAAAGGGCGCGUAGGUGGUUCUGUAUGUCUACCGUGAAAGCAUACAGCUCAACUGUAUUUUUGUCGGUAGAAACUGCAGGACUUGAGGCUGGGAGGGGCUGGUGGAAUUCCCUGUGUAGCGGUGAAAUGCGUAGAGAUGGGGGAGAACACUCGUGGCGAAAGGCGGCCAGCUGGACCAGUUCUGACACUGAGGCGCGACAGCGUGGGGAGCAAACAGG
rnacentral:rRNA from 1 species